CCUACGGGUGGCAGCAGUGAGGGAUAUUGGUCAAUGGGCGAAACCCUGAACCAGCAACGCCGCGUGAGGGAAGACGGUUCUCGGAUUGUAAACCUCUGUCCUCUGUGAAGAUAAUGACGGUACCAGUGGCGGAAGCUACGGCUAACUACGGGCCAGCAGCCGCGGUAAUACGUCGGGAGCCAGCGUUAUUCGGAUUUACUGGGUGUAAAGGGUGCGUAGGCGGCUUUGCAAGUCAGAAGUGAAAUCCAUGGGGUUAACCCAUGAACUGCUUUUGAAACUGCAGAGCUUGAGUGGAGUAGAGGUAGGCGGAAUUCGCGGUGUAGCGGUGAAAUGCGUAGAGAUCGGGAGGAACACCAGUGGCGAAGGCGGCAUACUGGGCUCUAACUGACGCUGAGGCACGAAAGCGUGGGUAGCAAACAGGAUUAGAUACCCGGGUAGUC
rnacentral:rRNA from 1 species